rnacentral:rRNA from 1 species
UACGGAGGGGGCUAGCGUUGUUCGGAAUUACUGGGCGUAAAGCGUGCGCAGGCGGUUCUGAAAGUCAGCUGUGAAAGCCCCGGGCUUAACCUGGGAACUGCGGUUGAAACUACAGGACUAGAAUCUGGCAGAGGGGGGUGGAAUUCCACGUGUAGCAGUGAAAUGCGUAGAGAUGUGGAGGAACACCGAUGGCGAAGGCAGCCCCCUGGGCUGAGAUUGACGCUCAGGCACGAAAGCGUGGGGAGCAAACAGG